UACGUAGGGUGCAAGCGUUGUCCGGAAUUAUUGGGCGUAAAGAGCGUGUAGGCGGCCCGAUUAGUCCGCUGUGAAAGUCCAGGGCUCAACCCUGGAAUGCCGGUGGAUACUGUCGGGCUCGAGUCCGGAAGAGGCGAGUGGAAUUCCUGGUGUAGCGGUGGAAUGCGCAGAUAUCAGGAGGAACACCGAUAGCGAAGGCAGCUCGCUGGGACGGUACUGACGCUGAGGUGCGAAAGCGUGGGGAGCGAACAGG
rnacentral:rRNA from 1 species